CAGUAUGUGCUGAAACGCUUGUGUCAAUCAGACUAUCGUGGGAGGGGUCUGUCUGUGUGAUGUCACACUGACAGGCAUCGGAGAUCGGCUCGAUUUGAGAAAGGGGUAAAUA